UAGGGAAUCUUCCACAAUGGACGAAAGUCUGAUGGAGCAACGCCGCGUGAGUGAUGAAGGGUUUCGGCUCGUAAAACUCUGUUGUUGGAGAAGAACAGGUGAUAGAGUAACUGUUAUCAUCUUGACGGUAUCCAACCAGAAAGCCACGGCUAACUACGUGCCAGCAGCCGCGGUAAUACGUAGGUGGCAAGCGUUGUCCGGAUUUAUUGGGCGUAAAGCGAGCGCAGGCGGUUUUUUAGGUCUGAUGUGAAAGCCUUCGGCUUAACCGGAGAAGGGCAUCGGAAACCGGGAGACUUGAGUGCAGAAGAGGACAGUGGAACUCCAUGUGUAGCGGUGAAAUGCGUAGAUAUAUGGAAGAACACCAGUGGCGAAGGCGGCUGUCUGGUCUGUAACUGACGCUGAGGCUCGAAAGCAUGGGUAGCGAACAGGAUUAGAUACCCUGGUAGUCCAUGCCGUAAACGAUGAGUGCUAAGUGUUGG
rnacentral:rRNA from 1 species